rnacentral:rRNA from 1 species
AUUGAACGCUGGCGGCAUGCUUUACACAUGCAAGCCGAACGGUAACAGGCCGCAAGGUGCUGACGAGUGGCGAACGGGUGAGUAAUGCAUCGGAACGCGCCCAGUCGUGGGGGAUAACUGCUCGAAAGAGCAGCUAAUACCGCAUACGAUCUAUGGAUGAAAGCGGGGGACCGUAAGGCCUCGCGCGAUUGGAGCGGCCGAUGUCAGAUUAGGUAGUUGGUGGGGUAAAGGCUCACCAAGCCAACGAUCUGUAGCUGGUCUGAGAGGACGACCAGCCACACUGGGACUGAGACACGGCCCAGACUCCUACGGGAGGCAGCAGUGGGGAAUUUUGGACAAUGGGGGCAACCCUGAUCCAGCAAUGCCGCGUGCAGGAAGAAGGCCUUCGGGUUGUAAACUGCUUUUGUACGGAACGAAACGGUCUGGGUUAAUACCCUGGGCUAAUGACGGUACCGUAAGAAUAAGCACCGGCUAACUACGUGCCAGCCGCCGCCGUAACAC